rnacentral:rRNA from 1 species
UACGUAGGGUGCAAGCGUUGUCCGGAAUUAUUGGGCGUAAAGAGCUCGUAGGCGGUCUGUCGCGUCGAAUGUGAAAACCCGGGGCUCAACCCCGGGCCUGCAUUUGAUACGGGCAGACUAGAGUUCGGUAGGGGAGUCUGGAAUUCCUGGUGUAGCGGUGAAAUGCGCAGAUAUCAGGAGGAACACCGGUGGCGAAGGCGGGACUCUGGGCCGAUACUGACGCUGAGGAGCGAAAGCGUGGGGAGCAAACAGG